CAAUUCUCUUAACUAGCCCAUGGACCACAGGCCCACAGCCGUGAUUCUUCUCGCUUUGACCCUUUCCUCGACCUCGAAACACGAAGCAAUCAAGUGAACUUACUCAUCGGCUCAUCCCCAACCAAGGCGUCACACUGCAUCUUCAUCUCCCUGCUUGUAACUCCUUCUAAUCCCCUAUUCCCCCUCAUGCCGUCCCUAUCCUGCUUUGCCGCCGCUUAGUGGUCGAGCGAUGGCCGCCCUUCCUUGCCGUCGGCUAGGGCUGUUCGCUAGCCCGUGGGAAGAGGCCGCUCGCUGCCAUCACUCGCCAGAAGGGACGCCGCCUCACCAGCCAGUGAACCUGCGGGUCUGCACGAGAAGAAGGGUGCUCCUCUAGCGACCAUGGCUGACAGAGGUGGAAGAUAGCCAAGUUUAACUCGAGUGGAGAACCAGAGCAACGCUAGUUCGACGGAAGCGGUUGUGCUGCGGCAUCCCCUAACACCGGCUUGUCACCGUCACCGGCAGAACAGAGGUUAGAGGUCAGCUACGAAUAUGUCACCCAAUACCGCUGAAGCUCUUAUAUGCAUGCAAGCAUGGAGUCCUGCUGAUUUGCUUGAUAAUGUCACUUCCAAUCAAUUUGCGAUUCAGUUUGUUCUUGAAGAUGAAGGAGAAGUUAUGGAGGAAUGUGAAUGUGAAGUCACCAUUGGUGACUAAAAUGAGCAAGUGCCUCUACUUGGUUGUUAACAUUGAGGCAUGGGCGUGCAUUAGGGAUCAUGCAAUGUUGUUUGGUCGAUUAGUCUUAGCAUUGCAAGUUUGAAAACUUUAAUUUGUUUUCAAUGUUAGUUUGUAAUGGAGAUUAAGACCUUUAAUUAUCUACCAAUCGUCAUUGUAAACUUUUGUUGCAGCUGCAAACCAGAUUGUGAUGGCCGAGUACCUAACAAGUUUCCUGUCUUAAUUAUUUUAAUUAGAUGUGCGUGUAAGUAAUUUGCCCCAUCCAACUAAUGGCAUGGGGUAACAAUCUAAUCGCCACAGUCACUAAGAUGGAGUUUAAGGCGCAUGGUGUGUUUGGCAAGGUAGAAGCGAGUAGACCAUUUUUGCUCCACUUCUUUUUU